AAAAUAAUUAAUAAUUUUUCAUUCGAAUGUUAUAUAUAAAGUCCAAUUAUCAAAAUAAUUAAUAAUAACUCAAUGUGUGAGCAUGAUCUUUGUUGACUAUACGAGUUUGGAAUCGAUUAUAAUCUUGAGGUAUAUGUUGUCUCUUACGAGUACCUAAAACUCUAGGCAGUGAUAUGAGGUGUGAGCAUGAUUCAAAACACGUAAACUGUUAUUGUGUUAUUUAUUAUGAAUUUGUGAUAUUUAUCAUAUCUUGUGGUUCGUACAUCAUAAAUCAUAACCCUAAACAAUCUUAUUCGGAACCCAAACCCUAAAUAACUAAACCCUAUACCCUAAACGGCAAACAACAAAUCAGCCGUAAAGGUCUUAAUAACUCAGCCUGUUAGUGUAAGUUAAUAUUUACAUAUGGCGCGAAAAUUUUAGAUAUUUUAUCUCGCGACCUUUAAUGUUCUAUACUUCCCCUAUAUAUAGCCCCCUUCUCUUGCACUUUCUCGCCUUAUCUCACUAGAAAACCUAAACAAUAUCUCUAUAUCGCCUUACAAAGUUAUGAUUGUUCCUGGUUAUUCAGAAAGGUUAGAGAACAGAGUCAAUGAGAUACUAAACUCUGAAAAUCGUGAAAACCUUCCCGUUCUAUACCCUGGCCCGGGUUUCUUGCUUGACAGCGUAAUCUGGUUUAAAUUUCUAAGCGAUCUCUCCCUGGCCAUCCCGUCGAUUUUAGCAGAAGGAUGGGUUCAUGAUUGGCCGACAUGGCGCGCCAUUCCCGAUCAUUUUAAGGAACGCUGGUUUCUUCAACUCGCUCGCAAACGCACGUGGGCACGAAGAUAUAAUUUUCAAGUUUGGACAAAUUUUAAUCUGGUGGCCAGAACGGUGUUUCGUUGUCAGAUGCGCCUCUUGAAGAGGAGGUGGGCACAUGGGGGUGAGAAGCCUGCGUGGAUGCUAACUAGAGUUUGGCGUGAUCUUGUCCACAUGUUUGAAGAAUUUGGUCCUGAUAAUUUUGGUUUUAGUAAUUGAUUUGUUGUUUUUGUUUGUAUUCAGCCGUCAAGUUUUUGUAAAGUUGUUUAACUCAGCCGUUAAGUUUCUAUAAAGUUGUUUAACUCAGCCAUUAAGUUUCUAUUAAGUUGUUUAACUCAGCCGUUUAGUUUCUAUAAAGUUGUUUAACUCAGCCGUUAAGGUUUUAUAAAGUUGUUUAACUCAGCCGGAAUUGUUUGCGUCAAACGUCAGUGUUUCAGUUAAGUAACUCAGCCGUAAUACGAAUUAAGAUACUAAUAACUCAGCCUUAUAUUGUAAAAAUACAAAGCCAAAGUUAACGCUAUUUUCCAUGUAUUAUUAUGGCCGCCAUUACUUAAUCGAGACCAGUAUUAGAGUCCUUUAUUCUCUUAUUAUUAUACGUGCGAGAAAUUCCAUCGUCAUUGAGAAUAUCGAGACUCAUUAUUAUGGCCGUCAUUACAUUAUCGAGACUACUAUUAUUAGAGACCUUUAUUCUGUUAUUAUUAUGUGCAUGAGAAAUUUCGUUUGCAUUGAGAAUAUCGAGACUCAUUAUUAUACGGCUGGCACGCAUGUAUCGGAUUAUUUACAUAAUCGAGGUAUUGUUAUUUUUAAUGUAACUCAGUCAAUACAUCUACGUUAACUCAGCCAAAAUAUAGACGCUAACACAGCCGUAAUACGAAUUCAACUUAAGUGUUUGAUAAAAUAAUAAAGAACCUUUCGUAUUUCUUGAUUUGAUUGAGUAUUCGUCAUAAUUAAAGUGCAUCACGUGUGUGGAAAAUACGGCUCAAACCUAAUAUCGAGGCAUUUAAUAGUUUAUUAAUUUAAAUUAUUCCUCUUUAUUUGAAUUUUUUUAAAAAAAUGAUUUUAUAUUACUACCACUAUUGUUUUAACUUUGUCUUUCACACCAAUUUCUCUUUCAUUCAAAGAAAAUGUCUUCUUCAUCAUCUGUGUCUGGUAACACUUACUUUCACCGCCGGCAUGUGGAAAGAGGAACGCCGAAACAGUGUUGGUGUGGUGAACCCGCUGAAUUAUGUACAUCUGCAUCACGGGCUAAUCCAGGACGACUGUACUAUUGCUGUCGCAAAGGAUAUAUUAAGGUUUGAUUUUUAAUUUUAUUCAUUAUACUGUCAAUGUGAUACUAAGAGCUGGGCAUGUUGGUGAAAUCAGAGACAUUUAUUCAAAUGGGCGGACGAGUGCUUGGUGGAAGAGGUAGAAGAUAUGAAAUCGGUGAUGAGUGACAUGACCAAAGGCAUAUCAGAUCUGAGAGUAGACGUUGGUCGGUUGGAGAAAGAACUCGGUAAAGCGGAAAAGAUGAAGUGUUUGAUGUUUCCAGUGGUGGUUUGUGGGUUUGGUAUGGCCAUAUUUUGGCACUAUUUCUUUGCGUAGUCAUGUGUUGUAAUCAUAAUUUAGACGCAAUGUUUUUAGUAACUCAGCUAUUACGUUCAAUGCAACUCAGCCAGUACGUUAAUUAAUUCAUAAUCAAACAAUAACCCAGCCAUAAUACGAGUAUUCGUCAGUCAUAACGUUUUAAUAACUCAGUUAUAACGUUAACUGCAAUUCAGCCGUUACGUUAAUUAAGUCACUAUCAAACAAUAACCCACCCAUAAUACGAGUAUUCGUCAGUCAUAACGUUUUAAUAACUCAGUUAUAACGUUAACUGCAAUUCAGCCGUUACGUUAAUUAAGUCACUAUCAAACAAUAACCCAGCCAUAAUAUGAGUAUUCGUCAGUCAUAAUGUUUUAAUAACUCAGUUAUAACGUUCACUGCAACUCAGCCGUUACGUUAAUUAAGUCAUAAUCAAACAAUAACCCAGCCAUUAUAUGAGUAUUAGUCAGCCAUAAAAAGAGACAUACAUAAAUUUCUGGUUUGACAUACAUAAGUUUAGGUUCAAAAUCACUCUUCCCUUUCCGGACAUACACACAUUAGUGGAGUAGUUUUCCCAUCUCCAACCACAUUGAACACAAAUAAGUCUCCUAUGGCGCAUCUGUUAGCACGACAGAACUUUCUCCAGCCUCUUCUGAUGUAAUACAUGCCGUCUGCUUCGCUAAAUCGCAAACUCACAGUCCAUGAAUUUCCCUCUUUGUUGACAAGUAUUAUCUCUUGGCAUUGUUUGUUCAAAGCAGUACAAGUCGUAGCUCCCUCAGGAAGAUACUGCAAACACAGAACGUAAAGACACAGAACAGAUCAAACCAUAUGUUAAUAACUAACUAAAUACUGCAAACACAGAACGUAAAGACACUGAACAGAUCAAACCAUAUGUUAAUAACUAACUAAAUAUGGUCUAUAACUGAAAAUCGACUCACAAGUUUGUCUUCUUUUAGAUUCGAAGCAGUGACCUCAGCCUGAAAACAAUAGUCAAAUGAGAAAGAAGGAACAUCAUCCGCAUCGGCUUCUUCCUUGAUGAUGUGAGGAUGUGUAUACUGAAUCUCACAACAGCUAGGACCAAAUGGUGUGACAUGAAACACCAUAUCUCCUUCGUGUUUGAAGAUGACAAUGUCACCGAUUUGAAGGUCAUGUGCUGUGGUGAAAUCUUUCCAACCUCCGGUGAGUCUCCUGCCUUCUUGUAUCACUUCCCAAGUUUGAUCUGUAGCGUCCGAUCUUAGUUUCCAUGUUUUCCGGUUUGUCUUCCCUUCUAUGUGUUGUGAGAAGAAGCCAAGUGGUAUUGUCUGCAGGUCAGAAAAGCCAAAGUUAAGCAAACUCUAAAAUAGGAACAUAUACACAUGAGAAAUAGAGAGUGUGUGUCUACCACGCCACUGUGGAAAUCGGGAAGCAGAGGCUUCAAGAAAUGAGGUUUGUGCGAAUUAGGCAUCUGCAAACAAGAAAAGAAUGGGAAGAAAACAUCAUCGAACCGAAGCUGAAUCCACAAAUCUGCAAAAGAGAGGCUUCGGUUUUACCUUCGUAUCGAGACGCUUCGAAAUCGCCUGUCGUCGAGAGCUUUUCUUUUUUUUUCGCGUUGGGACGAAAAUGAUUUCUUUUUUUUUCCUUGUGUAAAGUAAAUAAUGCCGGAAAAUAUAACUCAGCCGUAACAUUGUUAAUAAUUAAUAAUGCCGAAGAAUAAAACUCAGCUGUAACAUAAUUUAACUCAGUGUCGAGUUAUGUCCUGACACGCAUGUCCGAGUAAUUUACGAUAUCGAGGUCAUUAUAUGUUUAUUUUAUUUGGACACGCGUGAUCUUUAUAUUUAAUAUGAUUUCCCUAUUAUAUUUCCAAUAUUUACAAGUAAAAGAUAAAGGAAAAACCAGAGUCGACUUCUAAAACCUAAAGUAAGUCUCUUUCGUCCAAAAUCGAUUUUGAAUUAUUUUUUGUAUUUUGGCCUUGUUCGAUUUUGCAUUAUUUUUGUGUGCUAUGAUGUAUAAAUUAGAUGGAUCUACAGCGUGGAAUUCCAAGGACGUGCGACUGUGGAGCUGCUACCAUUGUGUUAACGUCAGGUACAAUAAAGAAUCCGGGUAGAAGAUUUUAUCGAUGUGGAGCAAAUUCGGGUCAAAACCAUGUUUUCAAAUGGCUUGAUGAAGCACAUGAUGAAGAGUUUGUAGUUGUGGCAAACAAACUCGCGACGGUAGAGCAGGAUUUGGCCGCUAUAAAAGCAGAAUUAGAUGAUAUGAAGAAAGACAUAACUGAGAUCAUAAAAAUUAUUGAAUGUCUUAGGAUGAAGUCUUAAAUGUAUUAGUUGCUACAACUACUUCUUUGUUUACUCAGAUUCUGUACUCAUAAGUCAGUCUAUGUUUAUGUAACUCGGAUUUAACUCAGCCGUUGUUAAUUUCUUCCGAAACAACAACUCAGCCGUAACAUGUAAUAAUAUCAGUCUUAACGUUUAGGUGAACAAUCAAAAAACAGUCAUAUUUCUAACAAUCAAAAAACAAUCAAAACUCAGCC